CCUACGGGUGGCAGCAGUGAGGAAUAUUGGUCAAUGGACGAGAGUCUGAACCAGCCAAGUAGCGUGAAGGAUGACUGCCCUAUGGGUUGUAAACUUCUUUUAUAUGGGAAUAAAAUGUUGCACGUGUGGGAUUUUGUAUGUACCUUAUGAAUAAGGAUCGGCUAACUCCGUGCCAGCAGCCGCGGUAAUACGGAGGGUCCGAGCGUUAUCCGAAUUUAUUGGGUUUAAAGGGAGCGUAGAUGGGUUGUUAAGUCAGUUGUGAAUGUUUGCGGCUCAACCGUAAAAUUGCAGUUGAGACUGGCAGUCUUGAGUACAGUAGAGGUGGGCGGAAGUCGUGGUGUAGCGGUGAAAUGCUUAGAUAUCACGAAGAACCCCGAUUGCGAAGGCAGCUUACUGGACUGCAACUGACACUGAGGCUCGAAAGUGUGGGUAUCAAACAGGAUUAGAUACCCUAGUAGUC
rnacentral:rRNA from 1 species